GAUUAACGCUGGCGGCGUGCAUAACACAUGCAAGUCGAACGAUGAAACUUAAAUGAUUUCUUCGGAAUGAACUUAAGUGGAUUAGUGGCGGACGGGUGAGUAACGCGUGAGUAACCUGCCUUACACAAGGGGAUAGCCGUUGGAAACGACGAAUAAUACCCUAUGAAACUAUCACUUCGCAUGAAGCGAUAGUCAAAGUGUUAGCGGUGUAAGAUGGACUUGCGUCUGAUUAGCUAGUUGGUGAGAAAAAAGCCCACCAAGGCAACGAUCAGUAGCCGGCUUGAGAGAGUGUACGGCCACAUUGGGACUGGGACACGGCCCAGACUCCUACGGGAGGCAGCAGUGGGGGAUUUUGCACAAUGGGGGAAACCCUGAUGCAGCGACGCCGCGUGAUUUAGAAGGCCUUCGGGUUGUAAAAAUCUUUUGUAUAGGAAGAAAAUGACAGUACUAUACGAAUAAGGUCCGGCUAAUUACGUG
rnacentral:rRNA from 1 species